rnacentral:lncRNA from 1 species
AUGAAGCUGAACAUCUUCCCAGCCGCUAGCUGCCAAAAGCUCAUUGAAGUGGACGAUGAACGCAAACUUCGUAGUUUGUAUGAGAUGCCUGUGGCCACAGAAGUUGCUGCUGAUGCUCUCGUGAAGCAUGGAAGGGUUCUGUGGUCUGGAUCAGUGGUGGGAAAGACAAACAAGCCUUCCCAUGAAGCAGGGUGACCCGACCCAUGGCCAUGUCCACCUGCUACCGAGUAAGCGGCAUUCCUGCCAUAGACCAAGGAGAACUGGAGAAAGACAGUGAAAACCUGUUCGCCGUUGCAUAUUGUGGAUGCCAAUCUCAGCGUCCUCAACUUGGUUAUUGUUAAAAAAAAAAAAAAAAAAAGUAGGAGAGAAGGAUAUUCCUGGACUGACUGAUACUAUGGCGCCUCGCUGCCUGGGGCCCAGAAGAGCUAGCAGAAUCCGCAGACUUUUCUAUGUCUCUAAAGAAGAUGAUGUCUGGAAAUAUGUUGAAAGCCCUUAAACAAAGAAUGUAAGAAACUGAGGACCAAAGCACCCAAGACUCAGUGUCUUGUUACUCCACGUGUCCUGCAACACAAAUGCUGGCAUCUUGCUCUGAAGAAAACAGUGCACUACGAAAAAUAAAGCAGAGGCUGCAGAGUAGGCUACACGCUGGCCAUGAGAAUGAAAGAGGCCAAAGAAAAACAUCAGGAACAGACUGCCAGGAAAUGCAGACCCUCCAGCGGUGAGCUUCUACUUCUAAGUCUGCAUCCAGACAAAAG